rnacentral:rRNA from 1 species
UACGAAGGGGGCUAGCGUUGCUCGGAAUUACUGGGCGUAAAGCGCACGUAGGCGGUCUUUUAAGUCGGGGGUGAAAUCCUGGAGCUCAACUCCAGAACUGCCUUCGAUACUGGAAGACUCGAGUCCGGGAGAGGUGAGUGGAACUGCGAGUGUAGAGGUGAAAUUCGUAGAUAUUCGCAAGAACACCAGUGGCGAAGGCGGCUCACUGGCCCGGUACUGACGCUGAUGCACGAAAGCGUGGGGAGCAAACAGG